GAUAGGCAUGCAAGUUCGAGCGAGAAUCGGUCUUCGGAUCGAGGACAGCGGCGAACGGGGUAGGAAUACCUCGGUGACGUACCCUCCGGUCGGGGAUAGCGGCGGGAAACUGCCGGUAAUACCCGAUGAUCUUCCUUGAUUUUAUCUUAGGGAAGCAAAGGUGUGAUUCCGUCGGAGGAGCGGCUGAGGUCGUAUUAGCUAGUUGGUAGGGUAAUGGCUUACCAAGGCGAUGAUGCGUAGGGGGUGUGAGAGCAUGGCCCCCACCACUGGCACUGAGACACUGGCCAGACACCUACGGGUGGCUGCAGUCGAGAAUCUUCGGCAAUGGGCGCAAGCCUGACCGAGCGACGCCGCGUGCGGGAUGAAGGUCUUCGGAUUGUAAACCGCUGUCGGAGGGGAUGAAAUGCCGGUGGGUACUCCCAUCGGUUUGACAGAGCCUCGGAGGAAGCACGGGCUAAGUUCGUGCCAGCAGCCGCGGUAAUACGAACUGUGCGAACGUUAUUCGGAAUCACUGGGCUUAAAGGGUGCGUAGGCGGCGGCACAAGUCAGGUGUGAAAUCCCCCGGCUCAACCGGGGAACAGCGCUUGAAACUAGGUCGCUCGAGUGAGGCAGGGGUGUAUGGAACUUCCGGUGGAGCGGUGAAAUGUGUAGAGAUCGGAAGGAACGCCGGCGGCGAAAGCGGUACACUGGGCCUUGUCUGACGCUGAGGCACGAAAGCUAGGGGAGUGAACGGGAUUAGAUACCCCGGUAAUCCUAGCCGUAAACACUGAGCACUGGAGAAGAGGGGCUUCGGCCUUUCUCCUCGCAGCGAAAGCGUUAAGUGCUCCGCCUGGGGAGUAUGGUCGCAAGGCUGAAACUCAAAGGAAUUGACGGGGGCUCACACAAGCGGUGGAGCAUGUGGCUUAAUUCGAGGCAACGCGAAGAACCUUAUCCUGGAUUUGACAUGGUCGGAUUAGCUCUCUGAAAGGA
rnacentral:rRNA from 1 species